CCUACCCCUAGACGCAUUGCAGGUGUGGCUGCUGUGUCCCAUGUGUGUCCAUAGGUGGCAGAGAGGAGAGAGGCUAUGUCUAUGCUCAGUGUUCUGACCUAAAGACAUCUGAAUGAUUAGCAGCCUAACACU